AAAGGUUUCCUGGGGAAGGUAAAUCCGCCCAGGGUUAGCCGGGACCUAAGACGAGGCCGAAAGGCGUAGUCGAUGGACAUGGGGUUAAUAGUCCCCAGCACGCGUGGAGAUCAAACCAUGGUUCGAAUUCCGAUAGCCCACGGGGACGCUAGCUGCGCCCAGGCCCUUGAGGCCGAUGUGGGUGUAGGGGUUCCUAGAAAAGCCAUGGGGGCAAGACGCGUCCCGUACCAAAACUGACACAGGUGGAUGAGGCGAAUAGCCUAAGGCGCUCGAGAGAACGGUCGUGAAGGAACUAGUCAAAUUGACCCCGUAACUUCGGGAUAAGGGGGCCCUCGCCGCAAGGCAGGGCGCAGAGAAAAGGCUCUGGGAACUGUUUAUCAAAAACACAGCACUGUGCAAAGACGCAAGUCGAAGUAUACAGUGUGACGCUUGCCCAAUACCGGAAUGUCAAGGAAGUGGCUCAUCGCAAGAGAAGGUCAUAACCGAAGCACCGGGGAAUGGCGGCCGUAACUAUGACGGUCCUAAGGUAGCGAAGUUCCUUGUCGGGUAAGUUCCGACGCGCAUGAAUAGCGUAAUCACUGGAGCACUGUCUCCACGACCGACUCGGUGAAAUAGUAGUGGCGGUGUAGAUGCCGCCUACCCGCAGCAAGACGGAAAGACCCCGUGGACCUUUACUGCAGGCUUGCAUUGGCCACGAGCAUAUUUUGCGUAGCAUAGGUGGGAGCCUUUGACGCCCGGAUUCCGGUCCGGGACGAGGCACAGGUGAAAUACCACCCUGAAUAAGUUUGUGGCCUAACUCCGAUUCCCAUGAAUCUGGGCGGAGAACAGUGCAUGUCGGGCAGUUUGAUUGGGGCGGUCUCCUCCAAAAAGGUAACGGAGGAGUGCAAAGUUCGGCUCAGCACGGAUGGAAACCGUGUGUCGAGUGCAAGAGCAUAAGCCGGAUUUACUGCGAGACCGACGGGUCGAGCAGUCUCGAAAGAGGGCUCUAGUGAUCCUGCGAUCCCGUGUGGAAGGGUCGUAGCUCAUCGGAUAAAAGGUACCCCCGGGAUAACAGGCUGAUCGCUCCCGAGCGUCCAUAGCGGCGGAGCGGUUUGGCACCUCGAUGUCGGCUCAUCACAUCCUGGGACUGAAGGCGGCCCCAAGGGUUCGGCUGUUCGCCGAUUAAAGUGGUACGCGAGCUGGGUUCAGACCGGCGUGAGCCAGGUCGGUCCCUAUCUGUUGUGGGCGUUGCAGAUUUGAGUGGCUUCAACUUUAGUACGAGAGGACUGGGUUGGACGAACCCCUGGUGAUCCAGUUGCACUGCUAAGUGCAUAGCUGGGUAGCUACGUUCGGCAGGGAUAACCGCUGAAAGCAUCUAAGCGGGAAGCCCCCCACAAGACUAGAUCUGCGUGUCUUCGGACGAAAGACCCCUGGUAGACCACCAGGUUGAUAGGCCGCAAAUGUACGGGCUGAAAGGCCCUUAGUUGAGCGGUACUAACGGUCGAACGUCUGGUCAU
rnacentral:rRNA from 1 species